rnacentral:rRNA from 1 species
GGGCUUUCUGCAAGGUGCUGCAUGGUUGUCGUCAGCUCGUGCCGUGAGUGUCGGGUUAAGUCCCAUAACGAGCGCAACCCUUAUCGUUAGUUGCCAUCUGGUAAUGCAGGGGACUCUAGCGAAACUGCCACCGUAAGGUGAGAGGAAGGUGGGAUGACGUCAAAUCAGCACGGCCCUUAUGUCCAGGGCUACACACGUGUUUACAAUGGUCGGUACAGAGGGCAGCUACCUGGUGACAGGAUGCUAAUCUCGAAAACCGGUCUCAGUUCGGAUCGAAGUCUGCAACUCGACUUCGUGAAGCUGGAUUCGCUAGUAAUCGCGCAUCAGCUAUGGCCGCGGUCGAAUACGUUCCCGGGCCUU